GUCCCUUGUUGUGGGAAGUCUCACCCCGGAGAGGCUGACUCCAGGGUUGUUGAAAUAGAGCAGCCAGGUUCUGCCGAUGACUGCUUAAAAUUCAUGUUGCCAUGGUAGCAUGGCAUUAGGCCACCGGUGAUCCUGCUGCACAAAGCUUUGAUCUCGGAGAAGGCAGAGUUUCUUUUGCUCUCUAGCUGGUUCUAAGGGGACUGCCUUGGGACCAAGCUUUGGCUUUGCUCCUGGGCCU
rnacentral:lncRNA from 1 species